GGGGGCGACCUGGCUUCGACGUGGGUUACAAAACUUAAGGUGCAUGCCGAGUAUGUUAGUUCUUCUCGUAAAACAGACUGCAAAAUAUAGUUGCAAACGAUAACAACUACGCACUAGCAGCUUAAUAACCUGUCUAUGCCGUCCGACCAGAUCCGUGCUUAUGCGUCUGGUAUCGGGCGUCGACUCUCAUAAGCAAAGCCUGAAGUACGCUUGGUGCUGAUGGACUAAAAUCUUACAAGCUCGCUAGCUGUUUUCCCUGUUCAUCGGGUAGCUGAUAGUUAAAUUAAUAGAUGAAAUAAGCAUGUAGAGCUGAAAGCAGAGGAUUUGCGGACGGGGGUUCGAUUCCCCCCGCCUCCACCA
rnacentral:tmRNA from 1 species